rnacentral:rRNA from 1 species
GCUUGUGUGUUAGUGGAACGGUCUGGAAAGUCCGACGGUACAGGGUGAUAGUCCCGUACACCAAAAUGCACAGGCUGUGAACUCGAAGAGUAGGGCGGGACACGUGGUAUCCUGUCUGAAUAUGGGGGGACCAUCCUCCAAGGCUAAAUACUCCUGACUGACCGAUAGUGAACCAGUACCGUGAGGGAAAGGCGAAAAGAACCCCGGCGAGGGGAGUGAAAAAGAACCUGAAACCGUGUACGUACAAGCAGUGGGAGCACCUUCGGGUGUGACUGCGUACCUUUUGUAUAAUGGGUCAGCGACUUAUAUUCUGUAGCAAGGUUAACCGUAUAGGGGAGCCGCAGGGAAACCGAGUCUUAACUGGGCGUUAAGUUGCAGGGUAUAGACCCGAAACCCGGUGAUCUAGCCAUGGGCAGGUUGAAGGUUGGGUAACACUAACUGGAGGACCGAACCGACUAAUGUUGAAAAAUUAGCGGAUGACUUGUGGCUGGGGGUGAAAGGCCAAUCAAACCGGGAGAUAGCUGGUUCUCCCCGAAAGCUAUUUAGGUAGCGCCUCGUGAAUUCAUCUCCGGGGGUAGAGCACUGUUUCGGCUAGGGGGCCAUCCCGGCUUACCAACCCGAUGCAAACUACGAAUACCGAAGAAUGUUAUCACGGGAGACACACGGCGGGUGCUAACGUCCGUCGUGAAGAGGGAAAC